rnacentral:rRNA from 1 species
UGGGGAAUAUUGCACAAUGGGCGCAAGCCUGAUGCAGCCAUGCCGCGUGUAUGAAGAAGGCCUUCGGGUUGUAAAGUACUUUCAGCGAGGAGGAAGGCGUCGUACUUAAUACGUGCGGCGAUUGACGUUUACUCGCAGAAGAAGCACCGGCUAACUCCGUGCCAGCAGCCGCGGUAAUACGGAGGGUGCAAGCGUUAAUCGGAAUUACUGGGCGUAAAGCGCACGCAGGCGGUCUGUUAAGUCAGAUGUGAAAUCCCCGGCUCAAGCCUGGAACUGGCAUUUGAAACUGGCAGGUCUUGAAGUCUUGU